CUGUGCGUACGUACCGUCUAAGAUUACUCACCGGAUGCUACGUGCGCCGCUCGACACCGCCGAUUGCGCAAUUGCAUCGUUCAGCGCAUAUAUUGUACGUGCAACGAAGUAUACACUCUCGCUCGAAUAGUCAUUGUCGUCGUCGUCGUCGUCGUCGUCAACCAUCAUCACUGUCGUUGUCGACGUUGUUGUCGCGAGUUCUCGCGAUCGUGACUCAAUCGCAAAGGCAUGUAUGGCUAAUUGGUCGUUUGCAUGAGAAAAAGCGGUUUCCGGUGGUGCCACACGGCCGUGCGAAUCGAAUCCAGUACUCGGUGAAUGGAGACUAGCAAGGCCUUCCUCCGAUGCGCUCAUGCGUGGACGACCUCGUGCGAGAUUCCGUGUUCUAAGUUACACAACGUGAGAUGGAAGCAGAGAGACGUAGGAAGUGGAUAAAAGAGCACGUAUAGAGGGACUGAGAGAGCGAAGGAAGUCAAGUGAUCUGAGCGCAUAUACAAGAAGAACGAUGAAUUCGGAGCAGCCGAAUCGCGCGAGGACGUAAGUACGAGUUGGUAUAGUCGUUGCAGAGAAUUGUGCAGAGUCGACGGUUGCAAAACAGGAAAACACGUUACGCGUAUGACGCUAAUGUGAUUUGCGGAACGCGGUAGAUGGAGGAGAAGUGAAAGGGGGCCAGAGAGACGUACCGAGGGAAUCAGGUAGCACGACGGAGAAACGAGACGGCGAAUUCGCGCCAUUGUGUCGUCCUGUUUACGUCUGAGAGAAACGUCUCUCAGCAAAAAAAAGACGCGAGCGUAGGUGAUCUCGACGCAACGUCCGAAUUUUCCAGCCGACUACUCCAUCAAAGACGCCACAUUGUCUUCAAGAGACGCAGCGGUACAGAAAUAGCGCACAAGAGAGACAGCAGAUUGUGCAAUCGCAACUUUUGCUGUGUUUCAUUAUACAUGCUACUUUUUUAUAUUUAAUUACU